rnacentral:misc_RNA from 1 species
GAUGAAGAACGUAGCGAAAUGCGAUACGUAAUGUGAAUUGCAGAAUUCAGUGAAUCAUCGAAUCUUUGAACGCAUAUUGCGCUCUCUGGUAUUCCGGAGAGCAUGCUUGUUUGAGUAUCAGUAAACACCUCAACUUCCAUAUCUUUUUUGAAAUGGGAGUUGGACUUGAGUGAUCCCAACGCUUUUCCUCACCGAAAAGUGGCGGGUUACUUGAAAUGCAGGUGCAGCUGGACUUUUCUCUGAGCUAUAAGCAUAGCUAUUUAGUCUGCCUAAAAAACAGAUUAUUACCUUUGCUGCAGCUAACAUAAAGGAGAUUAGUUCUUGUGCUGACUGAUGCAGGAUUCACAAAAACGGCUUCGGCCGACUUUGUAAACUCGAUCUCAAAUCAAGUAAGACUACCCGCUGAACUUAAGCAUAUCAAUAAGCGGAGGA